GGAAGUGUGGAGAUCCUGGUGUGGUUGGGACUGUUGGUCCACCAGGUGAGAAGGGCUCGGCAGGGGAGCCAGGUGUUCCCGGGUCGCCAGGCAUGGGGUUGCCUGGUUUCAAAGGUCAUAAGGGCGACGAUGGCGAGAAAGGACCUAAAGGAGAUCAGGGGCAGAGAGGCAGAGA